GCAUGUCCAACUGCCCACAUGGGGUGAUGCGGGAGGCACCUGGCUGAUGCAGUGCCUGAAAUUCCACAAUUCAGGAUCCACUCAUGAUUCUGGUGAGACUAAAGAGCUACAAAGUGAGUGUUCUGGACACUGUGAGAAUCUACAACUGGAGAAGCCAACAUUGCCUGUGGACUGAGAGCCACAUCCCAGAAAGUGAUGUUCAAAUGUCCAGUGGUCUCAGGCAAAGGCCCAGGCAAUGGAAGCUUCCCAUGGGGCCCUCUACCUCUUCACUGCUCCAGCACAGGUUGGAUCUACAGCCUGACCUGGCCAUUCCUCCAGUGUUUGGAGAAUCAUUGCCUAGCCUUCAUUCAGGAGCCAGAUUGCCUGGGCUAGAAUCCCAGCUCCACCAUUCACCAGCUGUGUAAACUCCCUGGGCCUCAGUUUUCUCACCUGUAAAAUGGGAUUCAUUGGACUGUUAUGGAUUAAAUGAGUUGACGUUUAUAAAGAACUUAGAAGAACACCUUAUUUAUUUGUUAUGUAUAAAAUGAAAUUCCAUCCUGCCUAAUAAAUAUCGGGAACAGCUCUGGGUGGAGAGGUGAUGUGCCAGGGAGGGGUCAUCUCAAGUCUAAGAGAUAGAGGGUGACCCAUCUGGUAGCAGACAGCAGCGGAAGCUGCUUGCCUGGCCUCUCUGGGUUUGAGGGCAGGGAUGUCUCUUCUAGCUUGAACACAGCCUACACUCCAGUUCUGUGACUUCAGGUGGGUUUGGCAUCAAAAGCCUUCAGGGCUCCUCUUAUGUGAUCAUGAGUUUCCUGUUGAGAUCCUUCUGGCUGGAACAAGCUUCUUGAUCCCCCAGAAGUGCCCAGUACUUUUGUCACCUGUGUCUGUGCCUUUGCUUGGGGAUGCUGGGACUACAGAGCAAUAGAUUUUCUCUCUGUCUCACCUUCUGUUUUCUUCUUUGUUCUUCUCCAUCUCAAAAAGGAAGGAGCAAAAUGCCUCUGCUCAGGGGUAGAUUUUUCUGUCCAAGCUGAAUCAGGUUACCUCCCAAUUAUUUGUUAAUGGGAAACAGCCAGUCCUUCCAUCUGGGGGACACACAAUUGUGUAAUAUAUGCCAUCCCAGUUGAUCCUCAAUAACCUGUACAGCAGGCAGAGCUUGGCCUAUGCCACAGAUGCAGAAACUGAGGCUCAAAGGGCCAAGAGAACUUGUGCUCGGCCAGAAAACCUGUUGUAAAGAAUCACCAUCAAUUCUAUGACCUGUUACAUGUGCACAGUCUUUGUAAUUUACAAAGCAUCUUCACAGCCAGUUUCCUAAGGGAGCAUCACAAAACCCCUGCAGAGUAAAACAGGGCAGCUAUUAUUAUUCGUGAUUUACAGAUGGGAAAACAAGGGCUUGGAAGAUCAGAGAUAUUCACGUUGUUCCAUGGCUAACGUUGUUCCAUGGUUCAGUUAAAUUCAGCAAGCAUUUAUUGAGCACCUACUGUAUGUCAGCCCCUGUCCUAGGUCCUGGGGAACUAAAGAGAAUGAGAAAUGGCCCCCCGCUCUUGAGGAGCUAAUUUUUGAGACAAUGUGAUAGAUGCCUUCAGGAUGGGUGAUCACAGGGCUCUGAGGCAGCUCACAGAGAAGCAGGUAUUAGGGAGGCUUCUUGGAAAAGCUGACAUCUGAGCUGAGUCUUAAAGGAUGAAUAGGAAUUGACCAGGUAAGUAAAGGUGAGACAGACAUUUGGAGCUAAGAGACAGGGCUAGGGCUAAGCACAGAGUACGGGUCCAGGUCGUGUGUGCAAAAGCCACAGGUAGUUGGUUCUUACAGAAUAGACACUUUGAAGCCACAUCUCCUGCUACGGCUUGAUCCACUGUAACAAGCAGGAGAAUGACCUCUAUGUAUGUGCAUGCACGUGUGUGUGUGUGUGUGUGAGAGAGAGAGAGAGAGAGAGAGAAAGAGAGAGUAUGUGUGUGUGUGCGCGCGCGCGUGUGUGUGUGUGCAGGCAGGCAGUGGUGGCAGCAUCAUACAUUUAG
rnacentral:lncRNA from 10 species